GAUGAACGCUGGCGGCGUGCCUAAUACAUGCAAGUCGAGCGAACAGACGAGGAGCUUGCUCCUCUGACGUUAGCGGCGGACGGGUGAGUAACACGUGGAUAACCUACCUAUAAGACUGGGAUAACUUCGGGAAACCGGAGCUAAUACCGGAUAAUAUAUUGAACCGCAUGGUUCAAUAGUGAAAGACGGUUUUGCUGUCACUUAUAGAUGGAUCCGCGCCGCAUUAGCUAGUUGGUAAGGUAACGGCUUACCAAGGCAACGAUGCGUAGCCGACCUGAGAGGAUGAUCAGCCACACUGGAACUGAGACACGGUCCAGACUCCUACGGGAGGCAGCAGUAGGGAAUCUUGCGCAAUGGGCGAAAGCUUGACGGAGCAACGCCGCGUGAGUGAUGAAGGUCUUCGGAUCGUAAAACUCUGUUAUUAGGGAAGAACAAAUGUGUAAGUAACUAUGCACGUCUUGACGGUACCUAAUCAGAAAGCCACGGCUAACUACGUG
rnacentral:rRNA from 1 species